UACGUAGGGUGCGAGCGUUGUCCGGAAUUAUUGGGCGUAAAGAGCUCGUAGGCGGUUUGGUAAGUUGGAUGUGAAAUCUCCAGGCUCAACUUGGAGGGGUCAUUCGAUACUGCCAUGACUAGAGUUCGGUAGGGGAGUGUGGAAUUCCUGGUGUAGCGGUGAAAUGCGCAGAUAUCAGGAGGAACACCGGUGGCGGAGGCGGGUCUCUGGGCCGAUACUGACGCUGAGGAGCGAAAGCGUGGGGAGCGAACAGG
rnacentral:rRNA from 1 species